GUAGGGAAUCUUCCACAAUGGGCGAAAGCCUGAUGGAGCAAUGCCGCGUGAGUGAAGAAGGUUUUCGGAUCGUAAAACUCUGUUGUUGAAGAAGAACAUGCGUGAGAGUAACUGUUCACGUACUGACGGUAUUCAACCAGAAAGCCACGGCUAACUACGUGCCAGCAGCCGCGGUAAUACGUAGGUGGCAAGCGUUGUCCGGAUUUAUUGGGCGUAAAGAGAAUGUAGGCGGUUUAUUAAGUUUGAAGUGAAAGCCCUCGGCUCAACCGAGGAAGUGCUUCGAAAACUGGUAAACUUGAGUGCAGAAGAGGAAAGUGGAACUCCAUGUGUAGCGGUGGAAUGCGUAGAUAUAUGGAAGAACACCAGUGGCGAAGGCGGCUUUCUGGUCUGUAACUGACGCUGAGAUUCGAAAGCAUGGGUAGCAAACAGGAUUAGAAACCCUAGUAGUCC
rnacentral:rRNA from 1 species